UCCCCUCGACCUUAUCUCUUCUCUCACCUUUCUCAACCCCAUCUCUCUCUCGCGUCUAUCUCCUCCCUUAGUGCCGCCCGCCAUCAUCGCCCCCGCCGCACCCGCCCACGCCGCGCCCGCUCCCGGCCUCGGCCCCGUCCGCCGUGGAGGCCCCCGCCGCGCCCGCCCCCGGCACUAGCCCCGUCCGCCAUGGAAGCCCCCGCCGUACCCACCCCUGGCCCCGUCCGCCAUGGACGCCCGUGCCCGCCCCCGGCCUCGUCCGCCAUGGACGCCCCCGCACUGGCCGCAUCCGCCAUGGAAGCCCUCGCCGCGCCCGCCCCUGGCCCCGACCCCGUCCGCCGUGGAGUGGAUUUGGAAUUUGACCCCGCUGUCGUGCUCGCACGUACAUGAUGCCUCUAAACCAGAGCCAUCUGCUGCAGGUAUGGUGUACAUUUCUGCCCCCGCCAGUGAACUCUACGAUUUUCUGUAUCGAAAUUUGUUCGAGUCUCUGGAGCGUGAAUCAUGUGUUCUUUUCCGGCUUACCAUGGUGCCUGUGUUGUUCAGGAGGAGUGCUGAAUUUCUUUUGAUUGCAGGGGGAAAUGAACGAACCGAUCAACAACCCUCAUUUGAUUAGUACUUCAUUCAAUCUAUUAUUACUGUUACUGAGUUCAGGACUCAGGUAGCAGUCGAUGCCACAUUGUUAGAUUGCGAUCUGCAAAAACGCUACUGAUUCAUAAAUAAAAUCGACCCAGCAUGUACACACGCACAGCUUCAGGCUGGUCCAAGCAAAAACUGCAUUCAUGUUUUUGCUUGUACACUGCACCGUACUCAUAUUGGUUUUAGCAGUAAGAGCGUGCUUAUGGGUGCAAAAUGUCAUAGUGAAAGAUGUUUUAUUGCAUUGCAUUUAGUUAAUAACAUGUCAUUCAAAGUUUUGUGGUAAAAUUUCUUCUGACCUGGAUAUGGCGCGGAAAAUUUGAACGGUCCUAUGGGAGAAUUAUACCAGAAAAGAGAAGGGUAUGCGUUACUAGUAGCUUCCCCCAAACUGCUGGCGCUAUGAUCAAAAUGUGCUUUCCCAAUUUAGCCACUGCAUGUUGCCUCAUAAUUUCUAGUUUUUCGAUAUCUGACAAUGCCCUGACCGCCGCGGAAUGUCACGCCACCGGACACCGACAUCUACUCCAUUCCGAGGGUUCUUGCCCCGAUGCCGUAGAAGUACGCGAGGUGCACGAAGAAAAACUUUGGCCGUUACCACGUGAGCGAGCCACCAGUUGAGCAUUUGCGCGAUUCACUGUACAAGACAGAGAGGGAUGUCAUGAAGGUGAUUAGUCCAGCUAUGUUUGGUAGUGAAGGGCGAUGUCCAGAGAGUAAGAAUGAGGCGACACAGUAUGGACUCGAUAUGACUGAGCAAUAAUAUCUUGAGCAUUCGAUUCCAUGGAUAGCUGCCAAUGAUGUUGUACAUUUAUAUUAGACCCCUCCAGCUACCUUGUCGAUGCAUGAACAAGAAGACAGGUUAGACUUUGUUGAAACCCUCUUCACUAGUGGAGGUAUCGACCAUCACUCGUCAUUGUAACCCGAUGGUGAUCGACGACCAUGAGCUUCCAUGUUAUUGCGUUCUGAUACUUGAGACUUUUAUUAUGACUAUGUAUAAGAUAUUUUCUCUUAUUAGUACUGGAUGAUGAGAUGUGUCUUAUUAUGACUAUGGAUGAGACUUUUGUGAUGUAAUUGAUGAGACUAUGGAUGAGAC